rnacentral:lncRNA from 1 species
UCAGUCUUGUUAGGUUGAGGCUGAAUAAUUGCAGAGAACUUGAGAGUCUUCCAAGCAGCAUUUCUCACAUGAAAUCUCUUAAAUACCUUGAUGUUUCUGGAUGCUCAAAGCUUGAGAAGUUUCCAGAAAUUUCAGAGGUUAUGAAGAAGCUAUCUGAGCUUUGUUUGGGUGGCACUGCAAUUAAGGAGCUGCCUGCUUCUAUUUUAAAUCUCAUCAGUCUUGUUAGGUUGAGGCUGAAUAAUUGCAGAGAACUUGAGAGUCUUCCAAGCAGCAUUUCUCACAUGAAAUCUCUUGAAUACCUUGAUGUUUCUGGAUGCUCAAAGCUUGAAAGUUUCCAGAAAGUUUUGGAGGUUAGGAAGAAGCCUAUCUGAGCUUUGUUUGGGUGGCACUGCAAUUAAGGAGCUGCCUGCUUCUAUUUUAAAUCUCAUCAGUCUUGUUUGGUUGAGGCUGAAUAAUUGCAGAGAACUUGAGAGUCUUCCAAGCAGCAUUUCUCACAUGAAAUCUCUUAAAUACCUUGAUGUUUCUGGAUGCUCAAAGAUUGAGAAGUUUCCAGAAAGUUUGGAGGUUAGGAAGGAGCUAUCUGAUCUUUGUUUGGGUGGCACUGCAAUUAAGGCGCUGCCUGCUUCUAUUUUAAAUCUCACCAGUCUUGUUACUUUGAAGUUGAAUGAUUGCAGAGAACUUGAGAGUCUUCCAAGCAUCAUUUCUCACAUGAAAUCUCUUGGAUACCUUGAUGUUUCUGGAUGCUCAAAGAUUGAGAAGUUUCCAGAAAUUUUGGAGGUUAUGAAGGAGCUAUCUAUUCUUUGUUUGGGUGGCACUGCAAUUAAGGAGCUGCCUGCUUCUAUUUUAAAUCUCACCAGUCUUGAUACUUUGAAACUGAAUGAUUGCAGAGAACUUGAGAGUCUUCCAAGCAUCAUUUCUCACAUGAAAUCUCUUAAAUACCUUGAUGUUUCUGGAUGCUCAAAGCUUGAGAAGUUUCCAGAAAUUUUGGAGGUUAUGAAGAAGCUAUCUGAGCUUUGUUUGGGUGGCACUGCAAUUAAGAAGCUGCCUGCUUCUAUUUUAAAUCUCACCAGUCUUGGUAGGUUGAGGCUGAAUAAUUGCAGAGAACUUGAGAGUCUUCCAAGCAGCAUUUCUCACAUGAAAUCUCUUAAAUACCUUGAUGUUUCUGGAUGCUCAAAGCUUGAAAAGUUUCCAGAAAUUUUGGAGGUUAGGAAGAAGCUAUCUGAGCUUUGUUUGGGUGGCACUGCAAUUAAGGAGCUGCCUGCUUCUAUUUUAAAUCUCAUCAGUCUUGUUAGGUUGAGGCUGAAUAAUUGCAGAGAACUUGAGAGUCUUCCAAGCAGCAUUUCUCACAUGAAAUCUCUUAAAUACCUUGAUGUUUCUGGAUGCUCAAAGAUUGAGAAGUUUCCAGAAAUUUUGGAGGUUAGGAAGGAGCUAUCUGAUCUUUGUUUGGGUGGCACUGCAAUUAAGGAGCUGC